rnacentral:rRNA from 1 species
CCAUGCUAGUCGCACGAGUUCAGACUCGUGGCGAAUAGCUCAGUAACACGUGGCCAAACUACCCUUCGGAACACAAUACCCUCGGGAAACUGAGGCUAAUAGUGUAUACCAUACCACCACUGGAAUGAGUGGUAUGCCAAACGCUCCGGCGCCGAAGGAUGUGGCUGCGGCCGAUUAGGUAGACGGUGGGGUAACGGCCCACCGUGCCAAUAAUCGGUAUGGGUCAUGAGAGUGAGAACCCAGAGACGGAAUCUGAGACAAGAUUCCGGGCCCUACGGGGCGCAGCAGGCGCGAAACCUUUACACUGCACGACAGUGCGAUAGGGGGAUCCCAAGUGCACAGGCAUAGCGCCUGUGCUUUUCGGUACCGUAAGGUGGUACCAGAAUAAGGGCUGGGCAAGACCGGUGCCAGCCGCCGCGGUAAUACCGGCAGCCCAAGUGAUGGCCGAUCUUAUUGGGCCUAAAGCGUCCGUAGCUGGCCGCGCAAGUCCAUCGGGAAAUCCACCUGCUCAACAGGUGGGCGCCCGGUAGAAACUGCGUGGCUUGGGACCGGAAGGCGCGACGGGUACGUCCGGGGUAGGAGUGAAAUCCCGUAAUCCUGGACGGACCGCCGAUGGCGAAAGCACGUCGCGAGGACGGAUCCGACAGUGAGGGACGAAAGCCAGGGUCUCGAACCGGAUUAGAUACCCGGGUAGUCCUGGCCGUAAACAAUGUCUGCUAGGUGUGGCUCCCACUACGAGUGGGUGCUGUGCCGUAGGGAAGCCGCUAAGCAGACCGCCUGGGAAGUACGUCCGCAAGGAUGAAACUAAAGAAUGGCG